CCGGACUCGACGUAUAUGAGAGGAGACAGAGCCAGGAACAAACCGAGGUCAAGGGCACAGAGAGACAGCGUAAACUAGGACAAGCCGGGGUCUGGUACACGGAAAACAGCAAGCCGGCAAACAGUACAGAUAAGGAUAAAGCGAAAAUGAAGUCAGAAUACGAAGCCAAAGUCAAUACGAGAAAACACAACUGAACACCACAAG